GAAGCAAGUCAGAAGGGCUGAAGGUGUCUCCGUUCCCGUGGGGGGUUUGCCGGCGCCUCCUCCUCACUCGGGAAUGCUGGACGGGGGGGGGGGGGCAACUUCACUGCCCCUUUCACGCUUCAGUCCUCCUCCAGGAGAAGCCAAGUACUGGGCACUUCGGCGUCGCCUUCUUCACAAGCGCCCAAGGGAGUGGGGGAGGAGGAAGAAGAGGAUGAGGGAGGGGAGACGGGGACAGAGGCUCCUCGGUGGCCCCGAUGCGACGCAGCCCUUCCUUCCACUCCGGCAGGCCUCCCCGAACCUUAUUCCUCUCGCUCUGUCUUCAUCCAAGGCGUCCGAUGAGCCACGAACCCCGCCGCAGAGGAGCAGCUUACCUCCGCGGCUCUGGUCGCCUCCAGUCGUCAUUCACCGCCAAGAGAAAGGAGCGACUGGCAGCAGAAGCAGCUGAAGCAGCAGACCCAGCGAAGGAAGGAGGAAGGAAGGAAGGAAGGAAGGAAGGAGGGAGAGCUGCGGGAAAAUCCUCCUCCCCUCCCUCCCUCCCGUGCUCCUCCGCCAGCAGCGGCAGCUCCUCCCCGUCGCCGCCUCCGUCAGUGCGGCCCUCCCAGGCCGGCGGAGCCCCUUCUCCGCUCUCCCUCCCUCGCCCAAGCCGCUGCGGCGCCUGCUUGCGCUAUGUCGCUGGCCGAGGUGCUGAAACCUCAGCGAGACUGCGGCGCCGGCUUGGACCGUGUCGCUGGCCGAGGUCCUGAAACAUGGACAGCUCCUCUCUGCCUUCCCUGCCGGGCGUUGGCCUUCGCCUGGGGAAAGGCGCGAGUAGGGCUGUCCCCAGGCAACUCAAAGCCAAGGCAGUCAGGCGCCUUGCAAGGGAAAAGCAGCCUUCCCCAGCCCCAUAUCAAGCCUCCUCUUCUCUUCUCCUCCGCUCCAAUCUCCGGCAUGGAAAGCCCCCACCCUCUUGCCAUUAGGGGGUAAUGCCUGCCAUUAUUCACUCUUAUUUUAGUGUUGGCAGUUAAAGUGAGAUCAUUAAGGCAUCUCUGCUUUUUCUGGCCCUCAUUUUUGGCGACAUAAGGUAGGUGUUAAAGCGCUGAGCUGCUGAGCUUGCAGACCGAAAGGUCCCAGGUUCAAAUCCUGGGAGCUGAAUGAGCGCCCACUGGUGGUGGUGGUGCGGUGUGUUAAAGCGCUGAGCUGCUGAACUUGCAGACCGAAAGGUCCCAGGUUCAAAUCCUGGGAGCUGAAUGAGCGCCCACUGGUGGUGGUGGUGCGGUGUGUUAAAGCGCUGAGCUGCUGAACUUGCAGACCGAAAGGUCCCAGGUUCAAAUCCUGGGAGCUGAAUGAGCGCCCACUGGUGGUGGUGGUGCGGUGUGUUAAAGCGCUGAGCUGCUGAACUUGCAGACCGAAAGGUCCCAGGUUCAAAUCCUGGGAGCUGAAUGAGCGCCCACUGGUGGCGGUGGUGCGGUGUGUUAAAGCGCUGAGCUGCUGAACUUGCAGACCGAAAGGUCCCAGGUUCAAAUCCUGGGAGCUGAAUGAGCGCCCACUGGUGGUGGUGGUGCAGUGUGUUAAAGCGCUGAGCUGCUGAGCUUGCAGACCGAAAGGUCCCAGGUUCAAAUCCUGGGAGCUGAAUGAGUGCCCACUGUUAGCCCCAGCUCCUCCCAACCUAGCAGUUCGAAAACAUGCAAAUGUGAGUAGAUCAAUAGGUACCGCUCCGGUGGGAAGAUAACGGCGCUCCAUGCCGUCAUGCCGGCCACAUGACCUUGGAGGUGUCUACGGACAACAUCGGCUCUUCGGCUUAGCAAUUCAGUCAUUUCUGAACAGGUAUAGGCAUUUCUUGGAAUUUUGUUGUUUUGUGCCUUCAAGUUGUUUCCAAGAUAUGGGAACUUUAAGCCAGUGGUUCUCAACCUGUGGGUCCCCAGAUGUUUUGGCCUUCAACUCCCAGAAAUCCUAACAGCUGAAAAACUGGCUGGGAUUUCUGGGAGUUGUAAGCCAAAAACACCUGGGGACCCCAGGUUGAGAAUCACUGUACUAGAUUAAACUUUAGAUCAAAUUCCCAUCAUGCAGGAUUUCCUAAUACAUAAUGAUGACUCAUAGUCUGAGAGAAGGAGUGCUGCAGUAAAUUAUUUUGUUGUGGGACACCUCUCCCCCACUCCCACCUGUUUUAUAGCCAUAGUUUGAUACUGAUUGAUAUUUUCACAAGCAACAAUUUACUAAUGUGAAUGUAUAGUGAUGUAUUUUAAUAGCUAUGGUCUAAGAAUUAAAAGGGGCACCUGGUGGUGGUGCAGUGUGUUAAAGCGCUGAGCUGCUGAACUUGCAGAUGGAAAGGUCCCAGGUUCAAAUCCCGGGAGCGGAGUGAGCGCCCGCUGUUGCUCCAGCUUCUGCCAACCUAGCAGUUCGAAAACAUGCCAAUGUGAGUAGAUCAGUAAGUACCGCUCCGGCAGGAAGGUAACGGCGCUCCAUGCAGUCAUGCCGGCCACAUGACCUUGGAGGUAUCUACGGACAACUCCGGCUCUUCAGCUUAAAAAUGGAGAUGAGCACCAACCCCCAGAGUCAGACAUGACUGGACUUAACAUCAAGGGAAACCUUUACUAAGGUAGGGAAAGGAAUUUGCAUCUUUCCAGAUAGGAGCCCCGGUGGCAAAGUGUGUUAAAGCACUGAGCUGCUGAACUUAUUUAUUUAUUUAUUUAUGAUUACAAUAUUUAUAUCCCGCCCUUCUCACCCAACAGGGGACUCAGGGCGGCUUACAAUAAAACACACAUAUAAAAACUGCACAAUACACUAUAAAUCAGUUAAAAAAUUAACUUACAUAAGACAUUCAUAAAACGCAUUAUAAAAUACAGAUAGGCGUGUUCAAGUUUAAAAGACUGGGUCUGUCAAUUGAGUUCCAGCGUACAUAAUAGUAAUUAAUGCUGCUGAUUCUUAUUCAAAAGCCUGGCCCCACAACCAAGUUUUAACCUUCCUACGGAAGGAUAGGAGGGAGGGAGCCUGCCUGACUUCAAUGGGGAGGGCGUUCCAUAGGCGGGGAGCCACUACUGAAAAGGCCCUCUCUCGUCCCCGCCAGCCGCACCUGUGAGGCUGACGGGACCGCGAGCAGGGCCUCAUCUGAUGAUCUUAAGCUUCGAGGUGGGUCAUAGAGGGAGACAUGUUCAGACAGAUAAGCUGGGCCAGAACAGUUUGCAGAUGGAAAGGUCCCAGGUUCAAAUCCCAGGAGUGGAAUGAGCGCCCUCUGUUCAUCCAGCUUCUGCCAACCUAGCAGUUCGAAAACAGGAGCCCCCGUUGGCGGAGAGGUUAAAGCCUCAUGACUUGAAGGUUGGGUUGCUGACCUGAAGGCUGCCAGGUUCGAAUCCCACCCGGGGAGAGUGUGGAUGAGCUCCCUCGAUCAGCUCCAGCUCCUUGCGGGGACAUGAGAGAAGCCUCCCACAAGGCAGUGGAACUCUCUUUCCCGGACUGUGGUGGAGGCUCCUUCUUUGGAGGCUUUUAAGCAGAGGCUGGAUGGCCAUCUGUCAGGGGUGCUUUGAAUGCGAUUUCCUGCUUCUUGGCAGGGGGUUCGACUGGAUGGCCCAUGAGGUCUCUUCCAACUCUACUAUUCUAUGAUUCUAUGAUUCUAAGGGUGGUAAAGACAUCAAAACAUCCGGGCGUCCCCUGGGCAACGUCCUUGCAGACGGCCAAUUCUCUCACUCCAGAAGCAACUCAGGUUGCUCCUGACACAAAAAAAGUUUGAAAACAUGUCAAUGUGAGUAGAUAAAUAGGUACUGCUCCAGCGGGAAGGUAACGGUGCUCCAUGCAGUCAUGCCAGCCACAUGACUUUUGAGGUGUCUACGGACAACUCCGGCUCUUAGAAAUGGAGAUGAGCACGAACUCCCAGAGUCAGACUUGACUGGACUUAACGUCAGGGGAAACCUUUACCUUAGAUAGAGGAAUCAAACAUUGUGGGGAAAAAGAGCCAAACGCUUCUCAGAAAUCCCAGAAAGGAGCUGGGGGAGGAGAAAAUGUUUUCUCAUGCUCAGGGCUUUCUGUCAAGAUAUGUGAAUACCUGGGUGGGAAGGGGGAUCACUUCCUUAGUGGCAUCUUGGACAGAUGAGCUAACACCACUGUUAAGCUGCUUGCAAGGGAGGACUUAAACUGGGCAUUAAAAUAAAAAAUGGGGUAUGGGGGUGGCAGGGAGAGAAUAUAUGAUAAGUGAAGGCAAUUUCAACUUACCACCACUAACUGACAGGAAGUCUCAUUCAGGGGUGUGUGUAUGUGUGUUCAAAUCUGUGGCUCUUGGACUUCAGAGGGAUGGGAGAAGAAACUUCUGAAAGGCCAACUUAUGUUUUAGAAGCUAAUUUAGAGAUGACAUAAAUGUGUAUGUCCCUUCAGAAUCUGGCCUUAGUUUAAAUCUGGGAAGAAACAUCACAAUGGGGAAAAGCAGAUACAGGAGGAUAAAACCAGAUGUAGGUUGCAGGGACAGAACACUGUGCCCAGGUGAGACUGAGCCCAGUGGUGGAGACAGAAACCUUGAGUCCACAAAUAGCCUUUGAAUAUUUUAAGGAUUCUUGCUUCAUCUACUUCAGUGGUUCCCAAAUUUAUUUGGCCUACCGCCCCCUUUCCAGAAAAAAAUAUUACUCAGCACCCCUGGAAAUUAUUUUUUUUUAAUUUUAAUAGCAAUUAAACAGAAAGAUAUAUGUAUUAAUGUUUCUACCUUUUUCAUAAAAUAUAGUAAAGAAAUGUGUAAAUUAGAAACAUUGAAGUUUGAAAUUGCGAAACUAUUUUUUGAACUCAGAAUAGAAAGGUAAUACAAAAAAAAGUUAUAACAUUUGAAAUCAUCUUAAUGAGAAGGAUGAACUUGGUAUGCUGCUACUCGGCUCUAUUUUCGUCAGUAGUAAUCUUAAAUCGCUGCAAUUGACUAUUUGCAAUCGGUUUCUUUUUUUGUUAAUAAAAUGGUUACUGCACUGAAUCCACGUUCCACUAAAUAUGAUGAAGGAAAUGCAAUUAAGAACUUUUGAAUUACAGCCCAUAUUUCAGGAUAAGCCGUAGGGAAUCUCCUUUUGCAGCCAGAAUUGUUAGUAGCCGCUUUUGAAUUUAAAUUUCAAUUAAUCAUUUGUACUUACUUCCAUCAGUUCUUCUUGUAACUGUGAAGAUUCUUCUGUGCUUGCACUUGAAAAAGGAUCCAAAAUCCAUUCAGUUAUUCAUCGCCCCCAAAUGCACCUGUGGCCAUCACCGCCCCUCUAGAUUGCUGCAGUGCCCACCAGGGGGCGGUAGUGCCCACUUUGGGUAUCACUGAUCUACUUUAAGAAUGAAGAUAGAAACUAUUCCUUACCAGUUGCGGUGACUGAUGUGUCACCUAUGGUAACCUCCGGAGCCUCCAGUGAUAUAGUGGUUUAAAGCCUCAUGACUUGAAGGUUGGGUUGCUGACCUGAAGGCUGCCAGGUUCGAAUCCCGCCCAGGGAGAGCACGGAUGAGCUCCCUCUAUCAGCUCCAGCUCCAUGCGGGGACAUGAGAGAAGCCUCCCACAAGGAUGGUAAAAACAUCAAAACAUCAGGGCGUCCCCUGGACAACAUCCUUGCAGACAGCCAAUUCUCACACUCCAGAAGCAACUCAAGUUACUCCUGACAUGAAAAAAAACAACCUCCAGGCAAAGAGAUUCUCCACAAUAAAUUAUGUUUGCUUUACAGAAAACUGAGUAGGGGAAAGUAUGUCCCUGCUAGUUCUACUAGACCAACUGUGUCCAUUCCAUGAGAAGUCAGAUCUGGCCAUGAUGGUACAUGCAUUGGUUACAUCCUGGCUGGGCUACUGUAAUGUGCUGUACUUGGGGUUGCUUUUGAAAAGUGCUCAGAAAUCUCAGUUGAUCCAAAGAGCAGCAGUCAGAUUAUUAACUGGGUCUGGCUACAGGAAGUGUACAAGUCCCUUUUUGCAACAGCUCCAUUGGAUACAAACCAAUUUCUAGGCAAAAUUCAACAUGCUAGUAGGGAUUUAGAGGUUAUUUGAAGGACCAUAUAUUUCUGUAUGAGCCUGUUAGUGGGAACAAGAGAGAGGAUAUUUUGGUGGCUGCUCCCAGAUUAUAGAACUCCCUCCCAAAGGAGACCAGGUUGGCCCCAACCCUGUUUGCCUUUUGCAAGCUGGUAAAGACAUUGUGUUUCCAUCCGGCAUUUGGAAGGAAAUGAGUGGCAUGUGGCUGGGGAUGUUGUGGGUGGAAUGUUGGGUUAGAUGUUUCGCUUCUAAAUGAAACUUUAAUUCAAUUUUAUUGUAUGUUUUCAGGAAAAGCCUGAAAACUUGGCUGUUCACACAGGCUUUUGAAUAAGUACCACCCUCUGAAUGUUAAAUUCUUGUAUAAAUGUUAAUCCUUGAUCGGUUUCAUCCACAUGGGUAAUUUCUCUAUAUAGGCUUAGGGUUCAACUCACUUUUGGGUUCUCCCCCACAGUCUUAUAGCACUUUUAACUUCCUCUAUGUUUACAAAUCUCACUUAGUGCACUUUGAUCAGCCCAUCCUUAUGUUUUAUUGCUGCAUUUUAAAUUUGUCUUAUUAAUGGUUGAUUUUAAUCAUAUGUUUUAAUUUUUCAUUCGUGCGUUUUGGUAUUUGAUGUUUUAUGUAUGUAUACGUGUUUUGUAUUUGUAAGCCGCACUGAGUCCCUGCGGGGAGAUAUGUCAGAGUUUUAUAUUAUUUAGGUCAUUUCUUAUGUGAAAAUUGAUAAGUGUUUGUAAGAAUCAUGUCCUAUCCAUGUAUGACCAGCAGCAAUCAAGACACCUGUUAAAGACUGAGUGUUAUGAAUAGAGACUGAGUAAAUCUUUAGUUAGUGAAUGUGAAUGUUAUUGUGAAGAUGAGGAUGCUGGUGACGAUCAUGGUGUUGCUGUUGGAAAGCUGUUGAAGUGGAGCUGAAGAAAGCUUGAAGAUAACAUUUUGUUUCGCCGUUUGAAAGCGGCUGAUAAAAGCCAAGGACUGUUAUGUUUGUAUAUAUUUUUAUAUAAAUCUUUCUUUACUAAAAGACA